rnacentral:rRNA from 1 species
CUGCGCCACGAGUGGGAGCCACGAUUAUUGGGCCUAAAGCGUCCGUAGCCUGCCUUGCAAAUCUUUUGUGAAAUUGCUGAGCUUAACUCAGCAGCGUGCAGAAGACACUACAAGGCUUGGAACCAGGAGGAGUCAGAAGGAUGCUGAGGGGAGCGGUAAAAUGCUAUAAUCCUCGGUAGACUACCUGUGGCGAAGGCGUCUGACUAGAAUGGAUUCGACGGUGAGGGACGAAAGCUAGGGGAGCGAUCCGGAUUAGAUACCCGAGUAGUCC